GACAGAGGCCUCGAGCGUUAGGCGGAAUCACUGGGCUUAAAGCGUGUGUAGGCGGAUCGUUAAGUGCCUUGUGAAAUCCCACGGCUUAACUGUGGAACGGCUGGGCAUACUGGCGGUCUUGAGCCAUCUAGGGGCGACUGGAACAAGCGGUGGAGCGGUGAAAUGCGUAGAUAUCGCUUGGAACGCCGAAGGUGAAAACAGGUCGCUGGGAGUGCGCCGACGCUGAGACACGAAAGCCAGGGGAGCAAACGGG
rnacentral:rRNA from 1 species